CACCGCCGCCGCCAUGUUGUUUCUUCUCCGUGUACAGAUUUCUCUUUCGACCCUUAUGUUCUCUCUUUCUUCUCGUUUCAAUAUUUGGAGCUUUUGUUCUGCGUUGGACGAUGAUGAUUUGCUCAUAUAUACCAUCAAACUCUGAACAAUCAUACGCUAUGUUGAUUGCACAAAGCUUCCCGUUUUCAGCGCUGUACGUUGCCGAGAGUGAUUGGGCGCAGAUUCUGGCACGGGACGUCUCUCUGUAUGUCUUGUGCAUUCUACUCGCCCUUACAGUUAUUUGAUCCGCAAGAUCCCUCUUCUAUUCUAUCGUUCAAUACAAAUAUUUCAAGAGACUUGUGUUUUUUUGCCCUUCCGAACAGUGUCUUCUGCACUAAAAGAAAUAUUUGUGAUUUUGAUUUGACCCAGAUAGUCUACAUAUUCAAUGAGUAAACGAAAGUGAAUUAACUCGGCAAUAAAUUAGAGUCUCUGUUGCGCUUGUUUCAGUAGCGUCUUCAGCGCUGUACGUUGCCUAGAACAAUUGGGCAAAGAUUCUGGCACUUCCAUCUAUUCUUAUGGCUUGUGCAUUCGACUUCCCGACAGUUUGUGAAUAAAUUAACUAGAUCACCUGGCAAGAUCUUGGCACCCAUCUGUCGAUUUCCAGGAAUCUUGGUUAAUUAUUGUUUACUCAAAAUUUUGUAAGUAGAAUAAACGUCUAAAAUCUUGGCAGUUUGGCACUCAGGUUUUAAUAAAUUAUCUUUAGUUUUGGGAGUAAAUUUCUUCGUUUCAGGGACAAACUAAAUUCAAUUUUGGGAAUCAUUAAGAGUACUGUAUACAAAUGGAUGUUAGUUUAGUGAAUUCAAUCGGGCAAAGAUUCUGGUUUAGCACGACUUGAGAGCUUGUAUACACAGGCCUUGUCAGCUCUUUUGUAUACAAAUAGAACGCUUGAAAGUUGUACACAGCAAGCUCGUAUCGGUCAAACAUGGCAAAAAAAAAUUAAACGUAUUAUUGAUUGGGACCGAAGGAUAUUUGAAAUGGAAACAUAGCAAGAUUUGAGCGAGGACUGUCUCCAGUAUCCGUCUUUUACAGAAUUCUCUAAAAGAUUCUAUCUCAUAUAUCUACUUUCUCUCCAACAACGUCCUCUAAAUCACGUCCUCUAUAUGUAAAUACCUAUAUUAAAGACAUUUUUAAUUUUUAAAUUUUUGUACAUUUGUAUUUGUCAUAAUCUCAAAUGUAUUGUACAUAUUUUAGUUUUAUUAAACCGGUUGUUUAAAGUAUUCAAAUAGUACACAGCAAGAGGAUGUCCUUUUAUCUAAAUUUAGGGUAUAGCACCCUUUAUAGGGUUUUAUUGGAGCCAGCCUUAGCACAAUUGAACUGUUGACCACAAAGUGGCACACUGCUGUUGGUUGUGGCUUGCUUUGUCUCGAUCGCAGUUCGAACAGCUAUUCAGCCAGCCGAUCAAUUUGAGCAUGAACCGAAAGAAUGGAGGCGGGAGGAUAUUUUUAAAAAAAUAUUAGAGAGGUGUGAUAUUAUCCGUGCAUCUUUAGAGGUUAAGUAUUCGAUUGGAUAUUUUAUUUGGAUAUCCACAUCAUAUUCGGAUAUUAUAGUUCUUAUAUCGUAUUGGAAUAUGGAUGACUUAUCCAAAAGAAUAUGGGAUAGCUUAUAUCCGUCAGAUUUUACGAUAUAUCGCCUUGUUCGGAGAGUUUCUUUAAAAACGAUGUUUUUAAAAAGGUCUUUGCACCUUAAUACAUGUGUCUUGGUUGUCUGGUUAUGCCAAUUGUCUUUGUUGUACCAGAUACAUUCAGAAAACAGUGGUUGAGUAAAGAUAAAGCAUAAGGAAACAGUCAUGCAUGAUGACAUGGUUUACCUAGAGAACUAGCACAACAAAUAAUGAAUAAGUAUACCUAAUUUUUUUUACUAUCAGCUUAUGGCGCAUUCAACUGUUCAGACAGUACUUAAGUUUUGGUGAUCUUAUCUUCGAACAAAUUUUGACUGCGAAAUGUUUUGACUAUCA